UUCUAAUAUCUCUGUCCCUCUUUCCUUGACUCAUUUUCCUUUUCCUUUUACACGCCAAGGCUACAACAACAAUAGUGAUAAAUUCCCUAACUCCCACCAUUAUUGAGGGUUUUAAGUAGUUAUGAAGGGGAUAUCACGGCAGCGAUGGUGAGUCUAUGGUGCUAACAGUUCUGAAGGUUUCAAUAUCAUGGCCAUGAGCAGUUUUGUAAUGACGGAAGAUGUUGAUUCAAGUGCUCCAGCAGUGGCAACAGUAAUUCGGUGAAGAUGCGGCCAAGUCGGCACGAGUUCCGACAACUCCGGCGAUGUUCUAGAGAAGGUGAAGACAAUGGAUCAGGGGUUGCACGUCUCGUAUCACAUCAAAUCGAUGACCAUUUGGAGUCUACUUUGUUUGUCUCUCCAUCUCUCUCUAUCUCUCAUAGAUCCGCAACUGUCACUAGAGGUGUGUGACUGGUGUAAUCGUUUGGUGAUAUACCAUGUUUGCUUCUUCGGGUGCUGGAAAAUUAUAGAAAUUGUUACCGGCGAUGGUGGAAAAGAUCUUGUGUAAGAUUAAAUAUAUUUAUUUUAUAUUUAAUCUGGUAGCCAUUAUAAUUAUUUACAUUAUAUGGAUCAAAAUAUAUAACAAUCCUAUUAAAUAAUUAGUUGGUAAUUGUUGAUGGGCCCAAUUACCCUUAUUAACUAAUUAGGGUUUCCUUCUGGGUGCUUAUAUAAGGAGAAUUAUAUGGAGGUUAGGGGGUUAGACAGUUACACAAUCAGACACCCUAUUAGCCAUAACAUCAUAAUGUUCGACCUCCUUCUCCUACGGCCGAUACCCUUUUCGGUUUUCUUAACCACUAUCAUUAGAUUGCACUCUAAGGAGGAACCAGACCAAACUGACAACUAUGUCAAACACUAUUGCUGCAUAAACAUCUGGAUUCUCUGCUGGCCUGUGCUGAUGCAAUCAAAGGUAUGUUUUCAUGUUUUCCUUCAUGUAUAAACAGAACUGAACCAACAUCUUGUACCUUGUGCUUUCUUGCACAUCAAAGGACAAAAUUGUAAUUUGAGUGGGGCUGUCGGUGCACCGACUUUGUGUUUUAAGUAGUAGUAGAAUGGCACACCAAUAUAUUAUUAUUAUUAUUAUUAUUAUUAUUGUUGUUGUUGUUGUUGUGGUGGUGGUGGUGAUUAUUAUUAUUAUUAUUAUUAUUAUUAUUAUUAUUAUUAUUAUUAUAUAUUAAUAAACGAAGUCGAUGAGUAGUAACAUAAUAUAUGUGUCAGUUCAUAAUUAGUUUUUUUUUUCACAUUUUUUUUUUACCUUAUUGAAUGUGUUUAUGUAGAAUUUAUUUAGAACUUAUGGUGUUUUAUUGGUUUUGGUAAAUUGGUUGGAUUUCUGAAUUUGAUUAAUUCACGAUUAUAAUGCUUGUUCUGUGGAAUAUAAUUCUUGUUUUUUGGAACACAUUGCAUGUUAGACACACCCACCUUUUGUGUAGUGGACCAUGUUGGAACUCGAAUGGUAAAGUGAGUAAUAACUAAUAAGGUAGCGAGUAGUGGGUAGUAAGUUUAGUUAAGUGGCAUUAUAUUAUUGGACAUGGGUGUAAGUGCUUGUGGUUCUACAAAACAGUUUGUAUUUCAUCAUCACAUCUAAACAUUCGGACCAAGCAUGCAUCUUUAAUAUGUAUUUUUAACAAGUAAGCACCUUAAACGGGUCUUUAUACACACAUGAAUCAAGCACAACCUAGCAACAUCAUCACAUGGAUGGUAUGGACUCGUAAGGGACCGAGUCAAUUCGGGUUGCGAUAUGUUGGCUUGUGCCAAAUUAGCGAGGUUAGUAAAUCGUUUAACUCAUGAAUGUUAAAUAGGAGGUUAUAGAUUGAAUAGUAUCCCAUGUUAACUAUGUGACAAUUGGCACUUUUCCAUACAUUUCGUACAAUAAUUGAACAGUAAUCUGUGUUUUAAGAUCUGUGCAGGGUAUAGUUUACAAGACGAAUGAAUUUCUGAUUACUGUUAUAUACAUACAGUGGCAUUUCAUGUUGCAAGACUUUUAUCAUUACUACAUGCAACACGAUAUAGUUCUAUUAAUGCACAGAACAGAAUUGGCACCAUUAUCAGACAAACUAAAAGCACUGACGGGAGUUCAGUACUUAGACAGACAUGAUGUUAAGACACAGAAUGAGCCCCAGAACCAAGUGAUACACUAGGAUAGUGUGUAGGAAAGUAGGGAUUACAAAACUGCCUUCCUAGUGAUGACAUAGGUGCCGGAAAGUGCCAGAAACACAAUAAAACUGCAAAAUUCUGCAGAAAAUAGAUAAAUUCAGCAAUUUUCAGCAAUUUAAUAUCUAAAUAUAAUGCAGAAAAGUGGUUUAAUGGUCCAGAAUACUUUCCUAAGUGUCGGGAACCAAAACUGUCAUAAAAUACAACAUAAAGCACACUAAACUGCGCAAUUCAGCACUUUAACGAACAGUAACGAAACGAACAACCGGACACUACCCGAAACAACAAAUUUUUACUAGAAGCACUGUUUUAGCGUUACAAAGCUAGUUAUGGACACCGAACAUCAUAUUACCUCUUAUGAACACCAAACACCUAAAUCCCUAAAUUUAAUACUUGGAAUCUAACUAGAAUGAAGUAACUAAUACUUGAAAUGUUACACUUUACCCCCCCCCCCCCAUCCAAGGCCGGUUACAAAGUAGGUCCCACUUGGGAUUUUCUAGCAUUAUUUUAUUAGAUAUGUUGCUUCCUUUUUUAGACAUAAAAUCCUUUAGAGAUUGAGAUGAUGGAAGUAUUUUAUAUAAACCCACUAGUCCUAACCUUCAUAACAUUCAUUCAUCUUCAACACCCCAAACACCUCUUCUCUUCCCCUCUACCUAGGGCCUCAAGCACCCACACAUACACAUCCAUUUUCAUCCAAUUUUCAAGUAAUCCAAGGUGAUUCUAAGAUGCUAGGAGCUAAGUUAAGAAGCUUGGAGCUUUCGGAAGUUGAAGGACCUUCACCAAUUGCUUUUAUCCACUUCAUUAUCUCUAGUGAUCAUCCCUAGCCUUGAGCUAGUAGUAGUCGUGCACACUAGUAGCAGCUUGAGAUACAUUGGAUUGAAGAACGAAAAACCGUAACAAGUCGGAUCUUGGGCGCAAGUGUUGUUUCUAGAAGUAGAUUCCAAGUUUAGAUGUCAUUCACUCUUGUUGAUCUGUAACUUAGUCGAAGGUUGUGCUGUUUGAAACUUAAAUAAAUGGUGUUUGUAAUACUUUCAACUUAAUGAAUGGAUGAACAUCGUUUUGAUCA